AAAUGAUUUUAUAUAUCGCUCAAAUUUAAAGCGUUUCGGAAGAAAUAGUGACAAGGUAUACUGGGAAUGUAUUCACAAUCGUUCCAAAAAAUGCCGAAGUCGUUUAAAAACUAUUGGCGAUGAUCUAUACGUUACAAAUGGUGAUGGUCAACGCAUUGCUACCGCGAGACGGGCUGGUUUAUUAAUUUAUAAAAAAUUUAGUUCAAUAGGACAAAAUGUCGGAAAAUUACAAUGCAAUACGAUCUCUUAGAAAAGUUAAAUAUGUUUAAAAUGUUAAAUUUUAAAUAAAAUUUUUAGUUUAUUUGUUAUGGACAAUAUACUUAGAUAGACAUAAGUAUAUUAUUUUUACAUUAAUAAAAUA